rnacentral:rRNA from 1 species
GACGAACGCUGGCGGCGUGCCUAAUACAUGCAAGUCGAGCGCAGGAAACUGACGGAACUCUUCGGAGGGAAGGCAGUGGAAUGAGCGGCGGACGGGUGAGUAACACGUAAGGAACCUGCCUCAAGGAUUGGGAUAACUCCGGGAAAUCGGAGCUAAUACCGAAUAGUUCAACGGACCGCAUGGUCCGCUGAUGAAAGGCGCUCCGGCGUCACCUUGAGAUGACCUUGCGGUGCAUUAGCUAGUUGGUGGGGUAACGGCCCACCAAGGCGACGAUGCAUAGCCGACCUGAGAGGGUGAUCGGCCACACUGGGACUGAGACACGGCCCAGACUCCUACGGGAGGCAGCAGUAGGGAAUCUUCCACAAUGGACGAAAGUCUGAUGGAGCAACGCCGCGUGAGUGAUGAAGGUUUUCGGAUCGUGAAACUCUGUUGUAAGGGAAGAACACGUACGAGAGGGAAUGCUCGUACCUUGACGGUACCUUACGAGAAAGCCACGGCUAACUACGUGCCAGCAGCCGCGGUAAUAC